CCUACGGGGGGCUGCAGUCGAGAGGCUUCGGCAAUGCCCGAAAGGGUGACCGAGCGACGCCGCGUGCGGGAUGACGGCCUUCGGGUUGUAAACCGCUUUUGUUAGGGAAGAAUGCCCGGGUCGUGAACUCGGGAGGGACGGUACCUGACGAAUAAGCCUCGGCUAACUCCGUGCCAGCAGCCGCGGUAAUACGGAGGAGGCAAGCGUUGUUCGGAAUUAUUGGGCGUAAAGGGCUCGUAGGCGGACCAGCAAGUCUGGUGUGAAAUCUCCACCGCUCACCGGGGAGAGGUCACUGGAAACUGCUGGUCUGGAGUUUGACAGAGGGUCGUGGAAUUCCAGGUGUAGCGGUGGAAUGCGUAGAUAUCUGGAAGAACACCGGUGGCGAAGGCGGCGACCUGGGUCAAAACUGACGCUGAGGAGCGAAAGCCAGGGGAGCAAACGGGCUUAGAUACCCCGGUAGUC
rnacentral:rRNA from 1 species